UCCAGACUCCUACGGGAGGCAGCAGUGGGGGAUAUUGCACAAUGGGGGAAACCCUGAUGCAGCGACGCCGCGUGAGUGAAGAAGUAUUUCGGUAUGUAAAGCUCUAUCAGCAGGGAAGAAAAUGACAUUACCUGACCAAGAAGCCCCGGCUAACUACGUGCCAGCAGCCGCGGUAAUACGUAGGGGGCAAGCGUUAUCCGGAUUUACUGGGUGUAAAGGGAGCGUAGACGGUUAUGUAAGUCUGGAGUGAAAGCCCGGGGCCGAACCCCGGGACUGCUUUGGAAACUGUGUAACUGGAGUACAGGAGGGGCAGGCGGAAUUCCUGGUGUAGCGGUGAAAUGCGUAGAUAUCAGGAGGAACACCGGCGGCGAAGGCGGCUUACUGGACUGUAACUGACGUUGAGGCUCGAAAGCGUGGGGAGCAAACAGGAUUAGAUACCCCGGUA
rnacentral:rRNA from 1 species